rnacentral:rRNA from 1 species
AUGUCCGGGCGCGGCAAGGGAGGCAAGGGGCUCGGCAAGGGCGGCGCCAAGCGCCACCGGAAGGUGCUGCGCGACAACAUCCAGGGCAUCACCAAGCCGGCGAUCCGGCGCCUGGCGCGGAGGGGCGGCGUGAAGCGCAUCUCGGGGCUCAUCUACGAGGAGACCCGCGGCGUGCUCAAGAUCUUCCUCGAGAACGUCAUCCGCGACGCCGUCACCUACACCGAGCACGCCCGCCGCAAGACCGUCACCGCCAUGGACGUCGUCUACGCGCUCAAGCGCCAGGGCCGCACCCUUUAUGGCUUCGGCGGCUAG